rnacentral:lncRNA from 1 species
UUUGAAACCUAAGGCCCAUGACUUGUCUCAGGCUUUUAUAUCCUGUCUCCCCCGUGCCGAGAGAGGGCUUUGUGGUUUUUAAGGAGGUGCUUGAAAACACGAGCUGGGGGUUCCCUAAGGGUGGGAAACCAGACAGCAUAGGGCAGCGCCGGGGCAUCUUCUUCUGCAGCUUCUUUGUGCCCUGGGGCAGGUAAACAGCCCCGCAUCCUGCUCUCCAAUGACCCAUCACUUGCAUCAGAAUACCCUUUGGCGGGGAAAGCCAGGAGAAGAAGCUGAGUAACUCCCUAUUCGCUAUUUGCUGGCAGAGGCAGGAAGCGAGGUCUGUUUGAUGCUUUGAUAUAAGGAGAGAAAAAAGCUCCUUUUUAUUGUUUGUUUGUUUCUGGGGCCUCGGAGGCUCACCUGGGACUAUGCGUGUUGGUCAUUUCCAGCUGGAUCUGGGAUUUCCCACUGUAGGGACCAGAACAAUAGCUUCGCCGGCACAGAUGUGGGA